rnacentral:misc_RNA from 1 species
GAUGAAGAACGUAGCGAAACGCGAUAGUUAAUGUGAAUUGCAGAAUUCAGUGAAUCAUCGAAUCUUUGAACGCACAUUGCACCUCUCGGUAUUCCGGGAGGUAUGCCUGUUCGAGCGUCAUUUGUACCCUCAAGCUCUGCUUGGUGUUGGGUGUUUGUUCCGCCUCUGUGUGUGAACUCGCCUCAAAACAAUUGGCAGCCGGCGUACUUGUUUCGGAGCGCAGCACAUUUUGCGAUCCAGAUCAACGUACAGCGGCAUCCAAGAAGCCUUAUUUAACGCUCUUGACCUCGGAUCAGGUAGGGAUACCCGCUGAACUUAAGCAUAUCAAUAAGCGGAGGA